GAUGAACGCUGGCGGCGUGCCUAAUACAUGCAAGUCGAGCGAACGGACGAGAAGCUUGCUUUUCUGAUGUUAGCGGCGGACGGGUGAGUAACACGUGGAUAACCUACCUAUAAGACUGGGAUAACUUCGGGAAACCGGAGCUAAUACCGGAUAAUAUUUUGAACCGCAUGGUUCAAAAGUGAAAGACGGUCUUGCUGUCACUUAUAGAUGGAUCCGCGCUGCAUUAGCUAGUUGGUAAGGUAACGGCUUACCAAGGCAACGAUGCAUAGCCGACCUGAGAGGCUGAUCCGCCACACUGGAACUGAGACACGGUCCAGACUCCGACGGGAGGCAGCAGUAGGGAAUCUUCCGCAAUGGGCGAAAGCCUGACGGAGCAACGCCGCGUGAGUGAUGAAGGUCUUCGGAUCGUAAAACUCUGUUAUUAGGGAAGAACAUAUGUGUAAGUAACUGUGCACAUCUUGACGGUACCUAAUCAGAAAGCCACGGCUAACUCCGUG
rnacentral:rRNA from 1 species